CAGUGGGAAGUAUUGCACAAUGGGCGCAAGCCUGAUGCAGCCAUGCCGCGUGUAUGAAGAAGGCUUCGGGUUGUAAAGUACUUUCAGCAGUGAGGAAGGUGGGUAUGUUAAUAGCAUACUCAUUUGACGUUAGCUGCAGAAGAAGCACCGGCUAACUCCGUGCCAGCAGCCGCGGUAAUACGGAGGGUGCGAGCGUUAAUCGGAAUUACUGGGCGUAAAGCGCAUGCAGGUGGUUUGUUAAGUCAGAUGUGAAAGCCCGGGGCUCAACCUCGGAAUUGCAUUUGAAACUGGCAAACUAGAGUACUGUAGAGGGGGUAGAAUUUCAGGUGUAGCGGUGAAAUGCGUAGAGAUCUGAAGGAAUACCGGUGGCGAAGGCGGCCCCCUGGACAGAUACUGACACUCAGAUGCGAAAGCGUGGGGAGCAAACAGGAUUAGAUACCCGGGUAG
rnacentral:rRNA from 1 species